CAGCAAACAGACACUGGAGGAUAUAAAAAUAAAUAUUAAAUAAAAGCUCUUCUUCAUCCUCAACCUCCCAUUCAACUCUUCCCACACAUACAAUUUCACCAAAAACACCUAAUAACUGUGAAAUCUACAGAAAAGAAAAAAGUAAAUCCAAACACAUUUAUGAGUAAACAUGAAUACUAAUUAUUUUUGGCUUUUAUUUUUUUAACGCGAAUACAUUUAACUCCCGGUGCUAUUCUGGCUGUUGAAUGCUAGCUUGACUCUGCCUUCUCAUUACCAUAGCCAAUAAAUCAAGAGGGAGGGGCCAUGGGAGGCGAGGUUGGGCCUCUCGGAACAUUUACUCGGACUACCAUUUACUGCAUUAUAUAAAUAAAUAACAACACAAUCCUAUUUAUGCGUGUGGUUUAGAGUGACUCUUACAUUCAACAUUCAUUUACAAUCAGUCAUUUCAUACUCUUUUCUGCACACAUCAUGUUUUGCAUUUGCUGCCUCUCUCUUUUCUCUCUUUCAUACAGGGCACGAGGAUUCACUGCAUGGUUUGAUGAGUGUGAAGAUGUGAAUCAUGUGCUAUAUGGCCUUCACAGUGACCAAAAUCUCAAGCCAGUUGAACUCCUAUGUGAGAUUUUUAGGGCAUCAUGUUAGACAGCACUCUUCAUCACCAAAAGAUCAACUCUUUGGGAGGAAUGGGCUCCAUCGCUCCAGAAGAGAUCAGAAACUUUCAAUGGCAAGGAGCAUCGAAGCUGUUCUGGAGAUUCAAGGAGAGUCUUGUUCUGGGUGAGGUGCUGGCUGCUCAGCUGGUUCAUCCUGGUUGAUGGUUAAACACGUCUGGAUGGCAGUGAUGGCGGGAAGUCCACCUUCUCCUGGAUAGACAGGACCACAACGUCUCUGAUGGAGCGUGAGAAGAGCUGCUGCGACGGCAUGUCGAAGGACGUGUUUGACGGAGGCAACCAGAAGCCCUGCAGGACUUUAGUAAACACCUCCAUCACCACCUCCUGUGGACCGAGCAGUUUGGAGAUGGGGACCUUGGCACAUAAUUAACCUGCCAUACGCAGUCUGCUUUGUGCACUGUGUAGAUGGAAACUCAGAAAUGACAAAAACAAUGCAGAGAGAGAGCAGGAAUUUGGAGUCAUUAGGGCCGCCCUAACAGGUUAGUCUGGCCAUGCUGCUGUUUUGUCCACCUUGACUUGGGAGGUGAAUGCUGAGAGACUUCCUGUAGUUUCACGUCUUAUUUCAACAGGCUAAAGUAAUGCAUACAGUAAGUUGAUAAUGUCCUUUAAGUACCAUAGGUAAAUAUUAAACAUCCACUCUAUUUAAUAGUCCAAUUGAUUCCAUCUAAAAGCCCACAAGGACAUAUGUUUGCAUUGACACUUCAAAGUGAAAAAAAAAAUGUAUAAAACCAAACAGAAGGUGGCAGUGUUGGAAAGGCUAAAGCAUAUGUAGUGGAUAACCUGUAAUAGUGAAAAGCUGUCUGCCUCUCCCCCUCAUUGUUUUUCCCUACUCUAUCUGUAAAGCAUCCAAACAGUCACAUUAUAGUAGAAGUCUGAAAGCUGGACUAUAUGAAAUGGGUCCCUGAAUGAUGAGCUAAGAGAGUCUUUUAAUUAACAUGUAUGAAAAGGCUGAUCAUGUUUUUUUUGUUUUUUUUACAGUCUACAGACUUAAAAAGACACACAAAACAAUUUAUAGAGUGUGACAGCAUUUAUCUUAGUUUAUUUAUGAGUCAUUUUUGACAUACAAAUCAUUUUGUGGUUUGCACUGUCUUCAAAGUCAGCACAUCUCAAGUUCCUCAAGCCUUCAUAAUAACCCAUUUAUAAUCAGUUUUUCCUUCACAUGACAAUGACUAUAUAUUAUUAGAUAGAUUAGAUAUUUUAUGGAUGUAACUGUAGUUGGAGCACUCAUAGAAAUAAAAUUAGGCAAGAAAGUUCUGAAGCAAUGUUGCCAAAGUAGCUAUAUCGUUAUUACAGCGGUGGCCUCAACUGCAAUCUCACCUCUCAGUUCUUCUUUCUGACCAUUCAGCAAUAUUUUGUGGCCUUCAGUUUCAGUUUAUCCUGACCAAAGCUACCAAUGGUGAUUCAAUUCAACCUUACUGACUAACACAGGGUUUGCUAGUUCACUCAGACCCGAACUACAACAAUCUGUAAACAUCAAUAGAGGUGACUGUGUUAAUCCUCAAAUGUGAAUAUGGGAGACGACUAACUGCUUCAUCAGUGUUUUUUGUAUUUCUCUCUCAACGUUUGCUAAAGCUAAAAACAAACAACUUGUUCAUCUUCAAUGUAAAAUUCAGUCAGUCAAGACUUUACAGAAGCAACACUUUUCGAAUGAACAAGCAGCCCAGGAUAUCUAAGGAUAUAAGCUUAAUUUCUUGAAAACACUUAAAGCAGUGAGUAGUGAACAGCACUCAAAGACCUGCAGCCAUGGACAAUAGUGUACUUGUGACCCACUCUACUUCUGUUUAACUGUACUCCCUUUUUUAAGGUCAUUUUAUGUUUAUGUACCUGUUUGUGCUGCCUGUUGAUUGUUUGUUAUAAAAACUUGUUCCCCUUGAUCAAUAAAAAAUCUUGAGAA